rnacentral:rRNA from 1 species
GACGAACGCUGGCGGCGUGCCUAAUACAUGCAAGUCGAACGCUUCUUUCCUCCCGAGUGCUUGCACUCAAUUGGAAAGAGGAGUGGCGGACGGGUGAGUAACACGUGGGUAACCUACCCAUCAGAGGGGGAUAACACUUGGAAACAGGUGCUAAUACCGCAUAACAGUUUAUGCCGCAUGGCAUAAGAGUGAAAGGUGCUUUCGGGUGUCGUUGAUGGAUGGACCCGCGGUGCAUUAGCUAGUUGGUGAGGUAACGGCUCACCAAGGCCACGAUGCAUAGCCGACCUGAGAGGGUGAUCGGCCACACUGGGACUGAGACACGGCCCAGACUCCUACGGGAGGCAGCAGUAGGGAAUCUUCGGCAAUGGACGAAAGUCUGACCGAGCAACGCCGCGUGAGUGAAGAAGGUUUUCGGAUCGUAAAACUCUGUUGUUAGAGAAGAACAAGGACGUUAGUAACUGAACGUCCCCUGACGGUAUCUAACCAGAAAGCCACGGCUAACUACGUG